UGGGGAAUAUUGCACAAUGGGCGCAAGCCUGAUGCAGCCAUGCCGCGUGUAUGAAGAAGGCCUUCGGGUUGUAAAGUACUUUCAGCGGGGAGGAAGGUGGUAAGGUUAAUAACCUUAUCAAUUGACGUUACCGACAGAAGAAGCACCGGCUAACUCCGUGCCAGCAGCCGCGGUAAUACGGAGGGUGCAAGCGUUAAUCGGAAUUACUGGGCGUAAAGCGCACGCAGGCGGUUGAUUGAGUCAGAUGUGAAAUCCCCGGGCUUAACCCGGGAAUUGCAUCUGAUACUGGUCAGCUAGAGUCUUGUAGAGGGGGGUAGAAUUCCAGGUGUAGCGGUGAAAUGCGUAGAGAUCUGGAGGAAUACCGGUGGCGAAGGCGGCCCCCUGGACAAAGACUGACGCUCAGGUGCGAAAGCGUGGGGAGCAAACAGG
rnacentral:rRNA from 1 species